AUUGAACGCUGGCGGCAUGCCUUACACAUGCAAGUCGAACGGUAACAGGUCUUCGGAUGCUGACGAGUGGCGAACGGGUGAGUAAUACAUCGGAACGUGCCUAGUAGUGGGGGAUAACUACUCGAAAGAGUGGCUAAUACCGCAUGAGAUCUACGGAUGAGAGAAGGGGAUCGCAAGACCUUGUGCUAAUAGAGCGGCCGAUGGCAGAUUAGGUAGUUGGUGGGAUAAAAGCUUACCAAGCCGACGAUCUGUAGCUGGUCUGAGAGGACGAUCAGCCACACUGGGACUGAGACACGGCCCAGACUCCUACGGGAGGCAGCAGUGGGGAAUUUUGGACAAUGGGCGAAAGCCUGAUCCAGCAAUGCCGCGUGCAGGAUGAAGGCCUUCGGGUUGUAAACUGCUUUUGUACGGAACGAAAAGCCCCGGGUUAAUACCCUGGGGUCAUGACGGUACCGUAAGAAUAAGCACCGGCUAACUACGUGCCAGCCGCCGCAGUAA
rnacentral:rRNA from 1 species